rnacentral:rRNA from 1 species
UACGAAGGGGGCUAGCGUUGCUCGGAAUUACUGGGCGUAAAGGGCGCGUAGGCGGCACUGUUAGUCAGGCGUGAAAGCCCUGGGCUCAACCUGGGAACGGCAUUGGAAACUGGCUUACUAGAGUGCGGUAGAGGGGUGUGGAAUUCCCGGUGUAGCAGUGAAAUGCGUAGAUAUCGGGAGGAACAUCUGUGGCGAAGGCCACACCCUGGACCAGCACUGACACUGAGGCACGAAAGCGUGGGGAGCAAACAGG